GCGGGGAUGGCGGAGUCCGGUCAAACGCGACAGGUUCAGGGCCUGCUUCCUUUAGUGGAUGCGAGAGUUCAAAUCUCUCUCCCCGCA
rnacentral:tRNA from 1 species